UAGAGUUUGAUCCUGGCUCAGGACGAACGCUGGCGGCGUGCCUAAUACAUGCAAGUCGAGCGAUAUCUUUGGGGGCUUGCCCCCGAAGAUGUAGCGGCGGACGGGUGAGUAACACGUGGGCAACCUGCCUGUAAGACUGGGAUAACUUCGGGAAACCGGAGCUAAUACCGGAUAACUCAAGAAACCACAUGGUUUCUUGCUAAAAGAUGGCUCCGGCUAUCACUUGCAGAUGGGCCCGCGGCGCAUUAGCUAGUUGGUGAGGUAAUGGCUCACCAAGGCGACGAUGCGUAGCCGACCUGAGAGGGUGAUCGGCCACACUGGGACUGAGACACGGCCCAGACUCCUACGGGAGGCAGCAGUAGGGAAUCUUCCGCAAUGGACGAAAGUCUGACGGAGCAACGCCGCGUGAGUGAUGAAGGUUUUCGGAUCGUAAAACUCUGUUGUUAGGGAAGAACAAGUACCGUUCGAAUAGGGCGGUACCUUGACGGUACCUAACUAGAAAGCCACGGCUAACUACGUGCCAGCAGCCGCGGUAAUA
rnacentral:rRNA from 1 species